CUAGAGGUCGCUAGAGGAAAUUCAUCCACAUUCUCGUCAUUUAUGUGAUUGGGGUUGAGGCUGUGAGUUCAGAAACCUGUAUUGUCGAUCAGCAGUUACAUUCGUUCAAUUUCUCUCAAUGUCAGAAGCUCAGUGAAAUAUCACAGAUACCAUCAAGCUAGCGGCUAACUUAGGAAGCAGCAAGUUAAAAUUUGCACCCUUGGUGAGCGGAGCGAGUUUCACGGUGCUUAUGCUGGUUCCAGAAGAAUAAAAACAAAGAUUGCACCCGUUAGAGACUCUCUGCCUCAUGUUAUAGAAGCCAAGGACUGCGACAAGUCCAGUAGAGGAGGCUGUACAGCACGAGUCAUCAGAACACACGGGUCCAG